CCUACGGGGUGCUGCAGUGGGGAAUAUUGGACAAUGGGCGAAAGCCUGAUCCAGCCAUGCCGCGUGUGUGAAGAAGGCCUUCGGGUUGUAAAGCACUUUCAGUGGGGAAGAAAGCCUUGGGGCUAAUACCCUCGAGGAAGGACAUCACCCACAGAAGAAGCACCGGCUAACUCCGUGCCAGCAGCCGCGGUAAUACGGAGGGUGCGAGCGUUAAUCGGAAUUACUGGGCGUAAAGCGCGCGUAGGCGGUCUGAUAAGCCGGUUGUGAAAGCCCCGGGCUCAACCUGGGAACGGCAUCCGGAACUGUCAGGCUAGAGUGCAGGUGAGGAAGGUAGAAUUCCCGGUGUAGCGGUGAAAUGCGUAGAGAUCGGGAGGAAUACCAGUGGUGAAGGCGGCCUUCUGGACUGACACUGACGCUGAGGUGCGAAAGCGUGGGUAGCAAACAGGAUUAGAUACCCGUGUAGUC
rnacentral:rRNA from 1 species